GCCCGGAUAGCUCAGUCGGUAGAGCAGAGGAUUGAAAAUCCCCGUGUCCUUGGUUCGAUUCCGAGUCCGGGCACCA
rnacentral:tRNA from 6 species